UACGAAGGGGGCUAGCGUUGUUCGGAAUUACUGGGCGUAAAGCGCGUGUAGGCGGGCCGUUAAGUCGGGGGUGAAAGCCCAGAGCUCAACUCUGGAAUUGCCUUCGAUACUGGCGGCCUGGAGCAUGAUAGAGGCGAAUGGAAUUGCGAGUGUAGAGGUGAAAUUCGUAGAUAUUCGCAGGAACACCAGUGGCGAAGGCGACUCGCUGGAUCAUUGCUGACGCUGAGACGCGAAAGCGUGGGGAGCUAACAGG
rnacentral:rRNA from 1 species